UGGGGAAUAUUGCACAAUGGGCGAAAGCCUGAUGCAGCAACGCCGCGUGAGGGAUGACGGCCUUCGGGUUGUAAACCUCUUUUAGUAGGGAAGAAGCGAAAGUGACGGUACCUGCAGAAAAAGCACCGGCUAACUACGUGCCAGCAGCCGCGGUAAUACGUAGGGUGCAAGCGUUGUCCGGAAUUAUUGGGCGUAAAGAGCUCGUAGGCGGUUUGUCGCGUCUGCUGUGAAAUCCCGAGGCUCAACCUCGGGUCUGCAGUGGGUACGGGCAGACUAGAGUGUGGUAGAGGAGAUUGGAAUUCCUGGUGUAGCGGUGGAAUGCGCAGAUAUCAGGAGGAACACCGAUGGCGAAGGCAGAUCUCUGGGCCAUUACUGACGCUGAGGAGCGAAAGCAUGGGGAGCGAACA
rnacentral:rRNA from 1 species